UCCGUACGAGCGCACCCUUGUCCUUAGUUACCAUCAUUAAGUUGGGGACUCUAAGGANACUGCCGGUGACAAACCGGAGGAAGGCGGGGACGACGUCAAGUCAUCAUGGCCCUUACGAGUAGGGCUACACACGUGCUACAAUGGCCAGUACAGAGGGUUGCAAUGCCGCGAGGUGGAGCUAAUCCCACAAAGCUGGUCGUAGUCCGGAUUGGAGUCUGCAACUCGACUCCAUGAAGUCGGAAUCGCUAGUAAUCGUGAAUCAGAAUGUCACGGUGAAUACGUUCCCGGGCCUUGUACACACCGCCCGUCACACCAUGGGAGUGGGUUGCUCCAGAAGUAGAUAGCCUAACCUUCGGGAGGGCGUUUACCACGGAGUGAUUCAUGACUGGGGUGAAGUCGUAACAAGGUAGCCCUAGGGGAACCUGGGGCUGGAUCACCUCCUU
rnacentral:rRNA from 1 species